rnacentral:rRNA from 1 species
CCUACGGGGGGCAGCAGUGAGGAAUAUUGGUCAAUGGACGAGAGUCUGAACCAGCUAAGUAGCGUGAAGGAUGACUGCCCUAUGGGUUGUAAACUUCUUUUAUAUGGGAGUAAAAUGUUCCACGAGUGGGUUUUUGUAUGUACCAUAUGAAUAAGGUUCGGCUAACUCCGUGCCAGCAGCCGCGGUAAGACGGAGGAUCCGAGCGUUAUCCGGAUUUAUUGGGUUUAAAGGGAGCGUAGGUGGAUUGUUAAGUCAGUUGUGAAAGUUUGCGGCUCAACCGUAAAAUUGCAGUUGAAACUGGCAGUCUUGAGUACAGUAGAGGUGGGCGGAAUUCGAGGUGUAGCGGUGAAAUGCUUAGAUAUGACGAAGAACUCCGAUUGCGAAGGCAGUUCACUGGACUGCAACUGACACUGAGGCACGAAAGUGUGGGUAUCAAACAGGAUUAGAUACCCCAGUAGUC